UACGGAGGGAGCAAGCGUUGUUCGGACUCAUUGGGCGUAAAGCGCGUGUAGGCGGCUUGGAAAGUCGGGUGUGAAAUCCCGGGGCCCAACCCCGGAACUGCAUUCGAAACUGCCUCGCUAGAGUCCCGGAGAGGAAGGCGGAAUUCCCGGUGUAGAGGUGAAAUUCGUAGAUAUCGGGAGGAACACCAGCGGCGAAGGCGGCCUUCUGGACGGUGACUGACGCUCAGACGCGAAAGCGUGUGGAGCAAACAGG
rnacentral:rRNA from 1 species